rfam:Synergistes sp. 3_1_syn1 genomic scaffold supercont1.5, whole genome shotgun sequence.
GGGGGUAUAGCUCAGUUGGGAGAGCGCUUGAAUGGCAUUCAAGAGGUCAGCGGUUCGAACCCGCUUAUCUCCA